rnacentral:rRNA from 1 species
UACGUAGGGUGCAAGCGUUAAUCGGAAUUACUGGGCGUAAAGCGUGCGCAGGCGGUUAUGUAAGACAGGUGUGAAAUCCCCGGGCUUAACCUGGGAACUGCAUUUGAGACUGCAUAGCUAGAGUACGGUAGAGGGGGAUGGAAUUCCGCGUGUAGCAGUGAAAUGCGUAGAUAUGCGGAGGAACACCGAUGGCGAAGGCAAUCCCCUGGACCUGUACUGACGCUCAUGCACGAAAGCAUGGGGAGCAAACAGG